AUUGAACGCUGGCGGCAGGCCUAACACAUGCAAGUCGAGCGGAUGAAGGAAGCUUGCUCCUGGAUUCAGCGGCGGACGGGUGAGUAAUGCCUAGGAAUCUGCCUGGUAGUGGGGGAUAACGUCCGGAAACGGGCGCUAAUACCGCAUACGUCCUGAGGGAGAAAGUGGGGGAUCUUCGGACCUCACGCUAUCAGAUGAGCCUAGGUCGGAUUAGCUAGUUGGUGGGGUAAAGGCCUACCAAGGCGACGAUCCGUAACUGGUCUGAGAGGAUGAUCAGUCACACUGGAACUGAGACACGGUCCAGACUCCUACGGAAGGCAGCAGUGGGGAAUAUUGGACAAUGGGCGAAAGCCUGAUCCAGCCAUGCCGCGUGUGUGAAGAAGGUCUUCGGAUUGUAAAGCACUUUAAGUUGGGAGGAAGGGCAGUAAGUUAAUACCUUGCUGUCUUGACGUUACCAACAGAAUAAGCACCGGCUAACUUCGUG
rnacentral:rRNA from 1 species